GUUAUAUGGUCAAGCGAAUAAGCGCACACGGUGGAUGCCUUGGCGGUCAGAGGCGAUGAAGGACGUGGCAGCCUGCGAAAAGUAUCGGGGAGCUGGCAACAAGCUUUGAUCCGGUAAUGUCCGAAUGGGGAAACCCACCCGCUUGCGGGUAUCCUGCAGUGAAUACAUAGCUGCUGGAAGCGAACCUGGUGAACUGAAAUAUCUAAGUAACCAGAGGAAAAGAAAUCAACCGAGAUUCCGUAAGUAGCGACGAGCGAACGCGGACUAGCCCUUAAGCUGAUUUGGUUCUAGGAAAACAGUCUGGAAAGACUGGCCAUAGAAGGUGAUAGCCCUGUAUCUGAAAGGGCCAUUUCAGUGAAGACGAGUAGGGCGGGGCACGUGAAACCCUGUCUGAACAUGGGGGGACCAUCCUCCAAGGCUAAAUACUACUGACCGACCGAUAGUGAACCAGUACCGUGAGGGAAAGGCGAAAAGAACCCCGGAGAGGGGAGUGAAAUAGAUCCUGAAACCGUGUGCGUACAAGCAGUAGGAGCCUCGCAAGGGGUGACUGCGUACCUUUUGUAUAAUGGGUCAGCGACUUACUGUUCGUGGCAAGCUUAACCGUAUAGGGGAGGCGAAGGGAAACCGAGUCUGAUAAGGGCGCAUAGUCGCGGGCAGUAGACCCGAAACCGGGUGAUCUAGUCAUGGCCAGGGUGAAGGUGCCGUAACAGGUACUGGAGGCCCGAACCCACGUCUGUUGCAAAAGACGGGGAUGAGCUGUGAUUAGGAGUGAAAAGCUAAUCGAACCCGGAGAUAGCUGGUUCUCCUCGAAAGCUAUUUAGGUAGCGCCUCAUAUGUAUCCUCUCGGGGGUAGAGCACUGUUAUGGCUAGGGGGUCAUCGCGACUUACCAAACCAUUGCAAACUCCGAAUACCGAGACGGACUGUAUGGGAGACACACGGCGGGUGCUAACGUCCGUCGUGAAAAGGGAAACAACCCAGACCCACAGCUAAGGUCCCAAAUUCACUGCUAAGUGGAAAACCAUGUGGAAAGGCACAGACAGCCAGGAGGUUGGCUUAGAAGCAGCCACCCUUUAAAGAAAGCGUAAUAGCUCACUGGUCGAGUCGGUCUGCGGGGAAGAUUUAACGGGGCUAAGCAGUGAACCGAAGCUUGGGGUGUGCAACCUUCAGGGUUGUACGCGGUAGAGGAGCGUUCCGUAAGCCGUUGAAGGUGGAUUGAGAAGUCCGCUGGAGGUAUCGGAAGUGCGAAUGCUGACAUGAGUAACGAUAAUGCGGGUGAAAAACCCGCACGCCGAAAGCCCAAGGUUUCCUUGCGCAACGUUAAUCGGCGCAGGGUGAGUCGGCCCCUAAGGCGAGGACGAAAGUCGUAGUCGAUGGGAAGCAGGUUAAUAUUCCUGCACCUCGCGUAAGUGCGAUGGAGGGACGGAGAAGGUUAGGCGUACCAGGCGUUGGUUGUCCUGGGGAAAGGCGGUAGGUUUGGAUCUUUGGCAAAUCCGGGAUCCUUUAAGACCGAGCACCGAGACGAGUCUUUAAGACGAAGUCGCUGAUACCACGCUUCCAGGAAAAGCUCCUAAGCUUCAGCUUACGCAGACCGUACCGUAAACCGACACAGGUGGGUAGGAUGAGAAUUCUCAGGCGCUUGAGAGAACUCGGGUGAAGGAACUAGGCAACAUGGCACCGUAACUUCGGGAGAAGGUGCACCCUUUUUGGUGGCUCAUGCGAGCUAUAGCUGAAGAGGGUCGCAGUAACCAGGCCGCUGCGACUGUUUAUCAAAAACACAGCACUCUGCAAACACGAAAGUGGACGUAUAGGGUGUGACGCCUGCCCGGUGCUGGAAGGUUAAUUGAUGGGGUCAGCCGCAAGGCGAAGCUCUUGAUCGAAGCCCCAGUAAACGGCGGCCGUAACUAUAACGGUCCUAAGGUAGCGAAAUUCCUUGUCGGGUAAGUUCCGACCUGCACGAAUGGCGUAACGACAGCGGCGCUGUCUCCACCCGAGACUCAGUGAAAUUGAAAUCGCUGUGAAGAUGCAGCGUUCCCGUGGCAAGACGGAAAGACCCCGUGAACCUUUACUAUAGCUUUACACUGAACGUUGAGUUCGUCUGUGUAGGAUAGGUGGGAGGCUAUGAAACUGUGGCGCUAGCUGCAGUGGAGCCAACCUUGAAAUACCACCCUGUCGUGCUUGACGUUCUAACCUAGGUCCGUAAUCCGGAUCAGGGACCGUGUAUGGUGGGUAGUUUGACUGGGGCGGUCUCCUCCUAAAGAGUAACGGAGGAGCUCGAAGGUACGCUCAGCGCGGUCGGACAUCGCGCACUGUGUGCAAAGGCAUAAGCGUGCUUGACUGCAAGAUCGACGGAUCAAGCAGGUAGGAAACUAGGACUUAGUGAUCCGGUGGUUCUGUAUGGAAGGGCCAUCGCUCAACGGAUAAAAGGUACUCCGGGGAUAACAGGCUGAUACCGCCCAAGAGUUCAUAUCGACGGCGGUGUUUGGCACCUCGAUGUCGGCUCAUCACAUCCUGGGGCUGUAGUCGGUCCCAAGGGUAUGGCUGUUCGCCAUUUAAAGUGGUACGCGAGCUGGGUUCAGAACGUCGUGAGACAGUUCGGUCCCUAUCUGCCAUGGGCGUUGGAGAUUUGAGAGGGGCUGCUCCUAGUACGAGAGGACCGGAGUGGACGAACCUCUGGUGUUCCGGUUGUCACGCCAGUGGCAUUGCCGGGUAGCUAUGUUCGGAAGCGAUAACCGCUGAAAGCAUCUAAGCGGGAAGCGCGCCUCAAGAUGAGAUCUCCCGGGGCACAAGCCCCCUGAAGGAACCAUAUAGACUAUGUGGUUGAUAGGUCAGGUGUGUAAGUACAGCAAUGUAUUGAGCUAACUGAUACUAAUGAUCCGUGAGGCUUGACCAUAUAACCUCA
rnacentral:rRNA from 1 species